UACCCCCAAUUCCUUUUUUCUCCUCACGAUCCACAUCCAUCGCCGAUUCCUCAUCUCCCUUCUUCUCUUCCUCUUGUAGCCGAAACCUUCCCCUUCCUCUCUGAUCGACGUCGAUCUGCCGCCUGAUCUGCCCUCCAGCCGGUGUUGUGGAUCCGCCCUGACGAUGAGACAUCAACGUCGGCACUAUUAGUCAUUAUCGAUCUACACAAUCACCGUUUCCCCGAGCCGACACUGAGUUUCCUUCCGAUCAGUUGAGCGUCAACAGAAGCUUUGGCUUGGACAGCAGCCUUACCCAGUUCUGGCCACAAAUUUAGACAGCCAUUACUCUGGCCGUAAAUCCACGGAAGAGCGUACGAAUUUAGGACUUUGAUUCGCAACAAGCUGCUUUACGUGGGGUUUCUUUUGGCACACACUAUAUUGGAGGCGGG